rnacentral:lncRNA from 1 species
ACACCGCGCGAUCACAAAAGCUCACCUUGUCACUUUGUGACAGGUGAGCUAAAAAAUAAGUUCAUGUUGCAUUUGUCAUGUUUUUUUCCAGGCCUGUAUAUGAUGUUAUGACCGAGACAGUUCUAGAGGACCGAGACGUGACUUAUACUAUUGUUGAAGGGGUGUCACAGAAACGCACUUAGCUUCUCAUCACCAGCAACGGUUACUCAUAUGGAAUUAAGAGGGAGAACAAAUCUGGAACUGUGAUAUGGCGAUGUACGACGCGAUCCAGGAAGUGUUACUGUCAUGCUACCAUGCGUCAGAGUGGAGACAAGUUUGUCGCCGGUCCAGCAAAUCACGUCCAUCCAGCCGUUCCUGACAACCAGCUGAAGAAAGAAGUCCGCCAGGUGUCCUCCAUGAACAUCUUUCGUUCAGCGCAGACGAUAGCCGAAUAGAUUGUUCGUGAGAACGUUGGUCCAGACAACGCCUCCAUUCCUAAGAAGAAAUUACUUAAACGAGUCGCCAAUCGCACACGUGCGAAACAUCGCCCAGAAGAGCCAAAGACACUCGACUUUGAGGUAGGCAAUAGUUUGUUAUUCAUUUUAAAUUACUUUAUAAUACUUCUUAAAACAAGAGAUCACAGAGUGAUCUUGGCGCCCACCAAUGUGCCA